AAAUGCUGCAAGUUCUCCUCUAGCAGGGAGCAGAGCUUCCAGGCAUUAUGAUCUGUCCUGCCUGUCUGGAUGGAACUUCUGCUCCAUACUAUUGGAUAUUACGGAUCUUUCAAACAGAAUGCCAAACUAUAAAGAUGUGUGGAAUAUGAGCACAAUAUAUACUAUGUGAGUAAAGAAGCUACAGGCUGCGGGUAAUAGGAGAACUACUUCAAAGCAGCUAUGGGAAAGCUAAAAGGGGUUAGAAGUAGGAGAAGGUUAUUAGAACGUCAUUAGGCCAUUUCAUGGAAGCCAAGAGCAGAAAGGCCACGGAUGUAUGGACUGGAGCCAGGAUUGGAGCAUGGGGGAGCCUGCAUGGAUUGGUGACUUUUUCCACAGAGUGUGGGUUCGUGCCUCUUUAGCUGUAGAUCAGUACUCUGUCCAUAGGUCUAUAGGACAGAAAAGGAUGGCCAAGAGCUCCUGAAUUUUACAUGUUCCAGUCCAGGGACUAAAGAGAUUUCUCUUUCCAACCCAGUCUACACAAUUGAUGAGGAAGAAACAGGAGUUUCCCCAGGUCA
rnacentral:lncRNA from 1 species